AUUAAAUACAUAUCAAACUAAUAUAAUAUAUUUUUCAAGUUUUGAAUAAUUGAUAUUUACAAAACUAGAGAUUGAAGUUUGAAAUAAAACUUCCAGAAUUUAAUACAAUUUCCCUGACUAUUAUAGGGUUUUAUGGAUUGCAUUAUCACUUAAUUAUCCGGUACCUAAUUUUUAACUUCAUUUCUGCUUGACUUAUACAGUCUAAUACGAUAGGUUUCAUGAUAAAUGGAGUGGCUGUGUACAGUUAAGAGGGUAAUAGUGAGCUAGGGAGGAGAGGGCUAUCAAAAUGACAAUUAUACUAGGUUUUAGAUAUAUAAUUAAAAAUAAU